rnacentral:rRNA from 1 species
ACUCAAAGGAAUUGACGGGGGACCGCACAAGCGGUGGAGCAUGUGGCUUAAUUCGAUGCAACGCGAAGAACCUUACCAGGGCUUGACAUGCCCCUGCAAGCUCCCGAAAAGGAGUCGCCUUCGAGGGUGGGGCACAGGUGGUGCAUGGCUGUCGUCAGCUCGUGUUGUGAAAUGUUGGGUUAAGUCCCGCAACGAGCGCAACCCUCAUCGUUUGUUACCAGCGGAUAAUGCCGGGGACUCGAGCGAAACUGCCUCUGUAAAGAGGAGGAAGGCGGGGAUGACGUCAAGUCAUCAUGCCCCUUACGCCCUGGGCUGCACACAUGCUACAAUGGCCGGCACAAAGGGUCGCGAGCGCGCGAGCGUGAGCUAAUCCCAAAAAACCGGUCUCAGUUCGGAUCGAAGUCUGCAACUCGACUUCGUGAAGUCGGAAUCGCUAGUAACUGCCGGUCAGCAAUACGGCGGUGAAUACGUUCCCGGUCCUUGCACACACCGCCCGU